GCUAGGCGUGGUGGCGUGCGCCUGUGAUCUAGCUACUUGGAGGCCAGGGUGCGGAAUUUCGCGGGACCUGGAGUUCUGGCACAUGGAUGCUCAUAUUGAUCAGGCCUCCGCGCUAAGCGCGGCGUCGAUAUGGAUGACCUAUAGGGGGACGAGUUGUCCAGGUUGACUAAAGAGGGGUGCACCGG
rnacentral:SRP_RNA from 1 species